rnacentral:piRNA from 1 species
UAGCAUUUAUUAUUACUUACCCAUCAGUA